ACGGCCAUACCACAUUGAAAACAACGGUUCUCGUCCGAUCACCGAAAUUAAGCAAUGUCGAGCCCGGUCAGUACUUGGGAGGGUGACCGCCUGGGAACACCAGGUGUAGCUGUAGGCU